UUGUUGUUGUUCGUUUGUUUUUGUAACGUUUUUGGUUUUUGGUUUUUUUUGGUUUUUUUUUUUUGUUUUGUUUUUUUUUUUUGACACAUGGUCUUACCAUAGCUCAGGUUGGUCUUGAACUUAAAAUCAUCCUACUUUGACCUACCCAUUGCUGGGAUUAUAGGUAUAUACUACAUGUUUGACAUCAGUGCCAACAUUUUGAGGCAGAUGGCACUGCUCAUUCAUUGGACCUCAGGUUCCAAGAGGGUUCCUGUGCAUGGCGUGGGCACUGACCCUGCAGCCUGCCAAGGCCCAGCUCAAUUCUGUGUCUUGUGGUGACUUCAUCUUCAUUCUGUGUGGUGGCUUCAUCUUCUUUGCUCACUCUCCUCAGUCCUUCAGUCUUGUUCUUUGGGAAUCAUUCUUCAAAAAAUAAACAGCUAGUUCUUGACUCUGUUUAUGUUUGUUAGUAAUUUGAAGUGGAAGAACAGAACCUAAGUGAGAUUCCGACCACAACACACCACCACUCAAGCAUUUCAGAAGUAAAGAAACCCUGCGAGUACUCUCACUGGAUUAAUAAGCACGGAUCCAGGCACAGAAGUGCACAGCUUUAAUCCCAGCACUUGGGAGGCAGAGACAGGCAGAGCUAGCUCUGUGAGUCAAGACCAGCCAGGUCUACAUAGCAAGUUCCAGGACAGCCAGGGCUACAUCCGAAGACCCUGUCUCAAACGAACAAAAGUAAAAAGCUAGUGUCCUGGCAUACUAGGAGAUGCGGCUUAAAUGACAGGAAAAGAAAUGUAAGUUACUGGUGGGAAGUCAGCCUAACAGUAGGACUCAUGGGGGAAACUAACAAAAACAAAGAAAAAAGCAGAAGUCUCCUUCAGUUCCUUGCCAGAGUCUGAUGAGACAACCCGGUUUGUGCAAAGUGUUGGGCUACUCAGCCUUACAGUCUCUCCAGGCCUGUGGAUCCCAGGCUAGGGGAGCCCAGCUCUAGCUUGGGCUAGCUUGUACACUGUGCCCAGGACCUUAGAUGUGAAUACUGAGCAGAGAGAGAAAAAAGGCAAUCCCGCUUUUGGUUACCCUGCCAGUUCUGAGGGCCAAAUCUCACCAGUUUGUCCUCUCUCUGUCCCUUCCUCCCUCUGUUCCUAGACUAGAAUGGGCCUUUCUGCAAAUAGCCUUUCAGUCCAAGAAGGCUUUGGCACCGUGCCGCAAUAAAGGACUCCGGGUGCCCCGAGAGUGCAAAAGGACAAACACCGAGCCCAGGCGUGGUGACUCCUCUAUGCUCCCUCAGUGGGCCGACUUCCCUCUGGUGUCUCUAUAAAGGCCACAGGGAAUCUUUCGAAAGGACACUAGAACGACUCAGGGGCCCGUGAUCCAGCCCUUCUAAUCCAGGGCGCGCCUCUGACUCAGCAUGACCUCGCACAUCCUUUUCUGGCUCCAGGUCCACAGUCGCCUCUUUGCAAGGUGAGGAUCCUGCUUUUCCAAGGACGCUUCUCGGGCCGCCGCCGUCCCGUGAUGGACUACGGCCAUGCUAAGGUUCAUAAGUGAGUUCCCACGCUGGUGUGUGUGAAGAGGUGGCGCUCCUGUCCCCCACACAGGUCUCUUGGGAGCGCAGACUUGAUUAACUGACCGGUCCGCCUGCUCAUAAUCCAGGCUGGGAUUGUGGAGCAACGAACUCCUGCUCCGGGCUAGGCCUGGCUUUCGGGACGCUCCUCCCUGUCGCUCUCCCUCCCACGUGGGGCCGAGAAAGCCGGAGCUCCUAGCUGCACGCGCGUUGUCCGGCCGAUUCCGGGCGGGAGGCCUGCGUGGAAGGCCGCUGGGUGCAAGGAACGGAGCAGGAGGCUGAGCCGGCCCGAGAGCUCCGCCCAGAUCGGUGGAGUGCAGUGGCCUUUCGCUGCCUAGCCGCACGGGGGUGUGGUCCAGAGGACUCGGCUUCCCGGCGCUCCGCGCCAACCCCUGGGAGUUUUGCAGCACCCACGGCGUGUUUGCACGCAGCCACCUAGGAAGAUCCCCUCAGCGCGCCGCAAUCGCUGAAUCCUUUCUCUCCACCCACCUCCCUCACGCAAGCUGAGGAGGAGAGGUGGAAACAUGCGGGACUACGACGAGGUGAUCGCCUUCCUGGGCGAGUGGGGGCCCUUCCAGCGCCUCAUCUUCUUUCUGCUCAGCGCCAGCAUCAUCCCCAAUGGCUUCAAUGGUAUGUCAGUCGUGUUCCUGGCGGGGACCCCCGAGCACCGUUGCCUGGUUCCUGACACUGUGAACCUGAGCAGCUCCUGGCGCAACCACAGCAUCCCCUUGGAGACGAAGGACGGACGACAGGUGCCUCAGAGCUGCCGCCGCUACCGACUGGCCACCAUCGCCAACUUCUCUGCGAUGGGGCUGGAGCCAGGACAGGACGUGGAUCUGGAGCAGCUGGAGCAGGAGAGCUGCCUGGAUGGCUGGGAGUACGACAAGGACAUCUUCCUGUCCACCAUCGUGACAGAGUGGAAUCUGGUGUGUGAGGAUGACUGGAAGACACCCCUCACCACCUCCCUGUUCUUCGUAGGCGUUCUCUGCGGCUCCUUCGUGUCUGGGCAGCUGUCAGACAGGUUUGGCAGGAAGAAAGUCCUCUUUGCAACCAUGGCUGUGCAGACUGGAUUCAGCUUCGUGCAGAUUUUCUCAACCAACUGGGAGAUGUUCACUGUGUUGUUUGCCAUUGUGGGCAUGGGCCAGAUCUCCAACUACGUGGUGGCCUUCAUACUAGGAACUGAAAUCCUGAGCAAGUCGGUUCGCAUCAUCUUCUCCACAUUAGGAGUCUGUACAUUUUUUGCAAUCGGCUACAUGGUCCUGCCGCUGUUUGCAUACUUCAUCAGAGACUGGAGGAUGCUGCUGCUGGCCCUGACACUGCCUGGCCUGUUCUGUGUUCCCCUGUGGUGGUUUAUUCCAGAAUCUCCCCGGUGGCUGAUAUCCCAGAGGAGAUUUGCAGAGGCCGAACAGAUCAUCCAGAAAGCCGCAAAGAUGAACAGCAUCGUGGCGCCAGCAGGGAUAUUCGAUCCUCUAGAGGUGGCUAUCCGGUGUGCUGCACCACCUGCUGAAUGGGCUAUCUUUGCUUUUUGCAAGUUUCCAACUUUGCAUUGGCAUGUGUGUCCAACCAUUACAAGCUACAGGAGCUAAACUCCUUGAAGCAGCAGAAAGUCAUAAUCCUGGACCUGUUCAGGACUCGGAACAUUGCCACCAUAACCGUGAUGGCUGUGAUGCUGUGGAUGCUAACCUCAGUGGGUUACUUUGCUCUGUCUCUCAAUGUUCCUAAUUUACAUGGAGAUGUCUACCUGAACUGCUUCCUCUCUGGCCUGAUUGAAGUUCCAGCUUACUUCACAGCCUGGCUGCUACUGCGAACCCUGCCACGGAGAUAUAUUAUAGCUGGGGUGCUAUUCUGGGGAGGAGGUGUGCUUCUCUUGAUCCAAGUGGUACCUGAAGAUUAUAACUUUGUGUCCAUUGGACUGGUGAUGCUGGGGAAAUUUGGGAUCACCUCUGCCUUCUCCAUGUUGUAUGUCUUCACUGCGGAGCUCUACCCAACCCUGGUCAGGAACAUGGCUGUGGGCAUCACCUCCAUGGCCUCUCGGGUGGGCAGCAUCAUUGCCCCCUAUUUCGUUUACCUGGGUGAGAUGUGUCUUAUUCUGUCCUUAGGGGUUUUUUUAUGUGUAUUUUGCAUGUGGGCUUAUGUGCUUUGUGUGUAUGAACAAGGGCCUUCUUUGGCCAGUCUCUUCAUGGGAGGAGUUGGUUUGGGUCUUAUGCAGCUGAAUCACUCUCCAUAGUCUGGCUGCUCAGUUUUACAGCCCCAUUGCAGGCACAUUGCAUCUUAAAGCCCUCACCGGUUUCUUUUCAUGAUGAUUCUCAGUGACCCCUUGGACUGUAAUAGUAAAGUAAUAGUAAGGGUCUUUCUGCUGUGUGUCUGUUGGAUUCCCUUCCCCCCACCCCUCUCUCUCUCUUUAGAUUUAACAAAAUUUGUAUUUUAUGUGAACGACAGUUUUAUCUGAAGGUAAGUGCAGCACUUUUGUACCUGGUGUUCAGGGAGUGUCUGAUCUCCAGGAAUUGGAGUGUAGGAAAGAACGAGCCACCAUAUGGGCACUAUAAAUGGAACUUGGACCCUUUGUAAGAGCAGCAAGAGGUCAUAACCGCUGAGCCAUCUCUCCAGGCCUGAACUCUUGUACAGAUAACCUCCUCAGUGCGAGCAGGAAGCAGGCAAAGGGAGGGAAAGAGCAGAGGCUCUAACUAGCAGACAUGAGUUAGGAUUCUUUAUUUGGGGGGGAAACCAGGCUUUGGGAGGGCUGUGAGGGCAGGGGCAAACAGACACAUGAUGUAAGGAUGAAUGGGACUCAAGGGGUGCUACUGAGUCCUCCCCAGUGAUUCGGUGGCUUAUGUGAGUUCUCUGUAGUGUAAGGAGUUAGCCUUCUGUAUACACUUUAUAAGUAUUUUUCUAGGUAAUCACUUACACUUUAUGAUUUUAUUUUUUGCAAGGCAAAAAUUUUUAGUUUCUGUAUAUUCAAAUAUACCAGGCUGGAAUAAUAUGCAAAGGAGCUUUUAGUGGGAUGUUGCUCAGCGUUCUAAGAUUAGCCUUUAUUAGGACUUGACUGGCAUAAACACACCUCCUUAUUUUUCUUGCUCACAUGUUGGUUACAUACCUGUUCAAACACAUGCACACAUGCAUGCAGAGAGAGAGAGACAGACAGACAGACAGACAGACAGACAGAUAGAGAGACAGAGAGAGAACAGAUAAAUUCUCAGAAAGGAUACACUAUAUAAAUUCACACAGUGAAAGAAACACAUUUUCCUAACUUUAACACACCCUGCACAGCUGCUCUGAGUACAGCAGCCCUGAGCAUACUGCAAAGCCAUUUUUCCUUCCACUUCUCAACUAUGCUUAGAUGAUCCAGUGUUGGGCCACUGGAUCACAAGAAGCAGAGCCUAAGAAAGAAUGUUUAGGGGGCUGGAGAGAUGGCUCAGCGGUUAAGAGCACUGACUGCUCUUCCAAAGGUUCUGAGUUCAAAUCCCAGCAAACACAUGGUGGCUCUCAGCCAUCUAUAAUGGGAUCUGAUGCCCUCUUCUGGUGUGUCUGAAGACAGUUACAGUGUACUUACAUGUAAUUAAUUAAUUAAUUUUAAAAAAGAAAGAGCAUUUAGUAUAAGAAGCUAUUCCUGUUAGCAACACAAGGCCUCUGAAAAGCCUAAAAGAGCAGUAUUUAUCUUAAGUGCCAAAAAAAACCCAAAAAACCCUACACACAUGGGUGUUUGUUUUUUUAUUCUCUCUGGGAGCAAGGAGCAGAUGAGGGUUUAUCCUCCUAUCUCAUAGCCCCAUACAGAGAAGCAGAGAGGGGCUAGGUGUGUGGCUCAGUCAGUACAGUCUUUGCCUACUAAGAAGCUGGGCUUGAUCCCCCAGCAGUGCUUCAACCACGGAUGGAGUCAUAGAGGCGAGGGUAAGAGAAUCAGAUGUUCUAAGUCAUCCUCAGCUACCUAGGUAAGCCUUCUCACCACCCUUCCCAAGUCACCUCCACCCUAAGGAAGCUUUGAUAGGGAAGACUUCUAUCUGAGGAACGUGUCAUGCACGGCUGGGCAGUGGCUGAGAACCUAACAGCAUGCUAAUGUACAACCAGGGCUAGCGAACUGUAGAAGUCUGGGGACCCAGUGGACAACCUAGGGUAUUUAGCUGACUUCCAUUCUUCUGAAAUGUUUGCAUUCAGUCUGCUGUCAUAGACUGUCUGCACCUUGGUAAAAUGUCUCCCAGGAGCAUGCUCAAAUCUAAUUGAUGUUCUUGUGUCUGGUGCUUUGCAGGCGCCUAUAACAGACUCCUACCCUACAUCCUCAUGGGCAGUCUGACUGUCCUCAUUGGAAUCAUCACGCUUUUUUUCCCUGAAAGUUUUGGAGUGACUCUACCAGAGAACUUGGAGCAGAUGCAGAAAGUGAGAGGGUUCAGAUGUGGGAAAAAAUCAACAGUCUCAGUGGACAGAGAAGAAAGCCCCAAGGUUCUAAUAACUGCAUUCUAACGAGGUUUCCAAGGCACUUGGCAAACUGAAAAGCAGAUGUAUACAAUGAGCAGGGUGUGAUAGAGCAAGCCUGCAAUCCCAGCGCUCUUGGGGUGGAGACAGAAGAUCAGGAGUUCAAGGUCAUCCUUGGCUACAGCAGGAGUGUAAGACCAGCCUGUCUUACCACAAGCAACCCUGUCUCAACAGAACAAAUCAAAAGCCUUUUCUGCUGAAAGGGAUUAACAGAAACAAUGAGCACCAAACUGGACUUGUGGAGAAAUGCACACUAUCUCAUGAAUUCUGGGCCACUCUUCCAGAUGGCCUUGUUUUCAAGAACAAACAUUUCUAAAUAGUCUUGACUACUAACUAUUCAAUGAAAUUGAUUUGUAAGAUUUUUUUUUUUUUUUUUGGAAAAUGUGUUAGUCAAGGACUGGCAAAAUCCAUAUGAAGAUUAACACACAUUUCUAAACGUAUAAAUGCUAUCCAAAUAAAAUUAUCACAACUAUUAGAUGGUAA